AACGAACGCUGGCGGCAUGCCUAACACAUGCAAGUCGAACGAGACCUUCGGGUUCAGUUGCGCACGGGUGCGUAACGCGUGGGAACCUGCCCUUAGGUUCGGAAUAACUCCCCGAAAGGGGUGCUAAUACCGGAUAAUGUCUUCGGACCAAAGAUUUAUCGCCCUUGGAUGGGCCCGCGUUGGAUUAGCUAGUUGGUAGGGUAAAAGCCUACCAAGGCGACGAUCCAUAGCUGGUCUGAGAGGAUGAUCAGCCACACUGGGACUGAGACACGGCCCAGACUCCUACGGGAGGCAGCAGUGGGGAAUAUUGGACAAUGGGCGAGAGCCUGAUCCAGCAAUGCCGCGUGAGUGAUGAAGGCCUUAGGGUUGUAAAGCUCUUUUACCCGGGAUGAUAAUGACAGUACCGGGAGAAUAAGCACCGGCUAACUCCGUG
rnacentral:rRNA from 1 species